rnacentral:tRNA from 1 species
GAGGGUAUAGCACAGUGGUAGAGUGUGUGCUUAGCAUGCACAAGGUCCUGGGUUCAAUCCCCAGUACUGCCA